GACGAACGCUGGCGGCGUGCUUAACACAUGCAAGUCGAACGGAAAGGCCCUGCUUUCGUGGGGUGCUCGAGUGGCGAACGGGUGAGUAACACGUGAGUAACCUGCCCUUGACUUUGGGAUAACUUCAGGAAACUGGGGCUAAUACCGGAUAGGAGCUCCUGCUGCAUGGUGGGGGUUGGAAAGUUUCGGCGGUUGGGGAUGGACUCGCGGCUUAUCAGCUUGUGGGUGGGGUAGUGGCUUACCAAGGCUUUGACGGGUAGCCGGCCUGAGAGGGUGACCGGCCACAUUGGGACUGGGAUACGGCCCAGACUCCUACGGGAGGCAGCAGUAGGGAAUAUUGCACAAUGGGCGGAAGCCUGAUGCAGCAACGCCGCGUGCGGGAUGACGGCCUUCGGGUUGUAAACCGCUUUCGCCUGUGACGAAGCGUGAGUGACGGUAAUGGGUAAAGAAGCACCGGCUAACUACGUG
rnacentral:rRNA from 1 species